CUGGAGAGGAGAAGGUUUAAGAUGAAAGACUUUCUUGACUCUCUUAUUCUCAGUCUUACUUUCACACGCAGACACUCGUCUGUGGACACACACUAGUCUCAGCAUCAGACGGGCCUCCCGCAGUCCGUUCUCUGACUAUCUGAUGCAUGUUUCAUAUGAAACUGGAGCACUUUCUCAAUCUAGUAAGCUCUAAUGUGAUUGGCUGACUUUAUUCCAAGAGUGAAGGCCCACAGGGUUUUUCUUCAGUCUGUCUGGAAAAAACGUGUUUACGGAAGAUGAAAUCUUUCAAGGAUGAUAUCGUUCCUGGAUUUGCCAAAGUUUGCAAGGUCCAUUUGUCAUCUUCCCAUAUGAAAAGUGCAGAUGGCAGUGGUCUCCUCCCAUCAGGACUCUGAACACAUACAGUGUAACAGCGUGGUAUUAAAUGGACCUGCCUCGGGGCCUGCGGCCAUCACACUUUUAAGAGCUCUGAGCUUGUGUCAUUAGAUCACAUGAUAUCAGUGCUGAAGAGGAAAUGCCUGUGUGUAAAUACUUCAAUGGAGGGAUUACACAGAAUAUGCACAGUAUUUUUAAUCAUCAUAAGCCUUUCUAAGAAUAGACUCUGUGUUUGAAUGCAGCAGAACAUUACAACAGACUCAGAAAAACAUGCAGAUACAUCUCCCACGAGAUGAUUUUGUUAACAAAUACGUUCAUGAUCAGAUGCGCACAUGCCAUCAAAAAGUGAAGUGUGUAAUUUGUGUACACACAAAAAUGACUGUUUCCCAAGAAAUCCCAAUGUUAUCAGAUAAGAAUCCUCUAAAAUGUUUCUAUAAUAAUAUAUAUUUUAUGAGAAAUGUU